AGUGAACGCUGGCGGUAGGCCUGACACAUGCAAGUCGAACGGCAGCACAGUAAGAGCUUGCUCUUACGGGUGGCGAGUGGCGGACGGGUGAGGAAUACAUCGGAAUCUACUUUUUCGUAGGGGAUAACGUAGGGAAACUUACGCUAAUACCGCAUACGACCUACGGGUGAAAGCAGGGGAUCUUCGGACCUUGCGCGAUUGAAUGAGCCGAUGUCGGAUUAGUUAGUUGGCGGGGUAAAGGCCCACCAAGGCGACGAUCCGUAGCUGGUCUGAGAGGAUGAUCAGCCACACUGGAACUGAGACACGGUCCAGACUCCUACGGGAGGCAGCAGUGGGGAAUAUUGGACAAUGGGCGCAAGCCUGAUCCAGCCAUACCGCGUGGGUGAAGAAGGCCUUCGGGUUGUAAAGCCCUUUUGUUGGGAAAGAAAAGCAGCAGGUUAAUACCCCGCUGUUCUGACGGUACCCAAAGAAUAAGCACCGGCUAACUUCGUG
rnacentral:rRNA from 1 species